rnacentral:rRNA from 1 species
UUGGUGGGGUAAUGGCCCACCAAGCCGAUGAUCGGUACGGGUUGUGAGAGCAAGGGCCCGGAGAUGGAACCUGAGACAAGGUUCCAGACCCUACGGGGUGCAGCAGGCGCGAAACCUCCGCAAUGUACGAAAGUGCGACGGGGGGAUCCCAAGUGUUAUGCUUUUUUGUAUGACUUUUCAUUAGUGUAAAAAGCUUUUAGAAUAAGAGCUGGGCAAGACCGGUGCCAGCCGCCGCGGUAACACCGGCAGCUCGAGUGGUAGCUGUUUUUAUUGGGCCUAAAGCGUUCGUAGCCGGUUUGAUAAGUCUUUGGUGAAAGCUUGUAGCUUAACUAUAAGAAUUGCUGGAGAUACUAUUAGACUUGAAGUCGGGAGAGGUUAGAGGUACUACCGGGGUAGGGGUGAAAUCCUAUAAUCCUGGGAGGACCACCUGUGGCGAAGGCGUCUAACUGGAACGAUCUUGACGGUGAGUAACGAAAGCCAGGGGCGCGAACCGGAUUAGAUACCCGGGUAGUCCUGGCCGUAAACGAUGUGGACUUGGUGUUGGAAUGGCUUUGAGUUGUUCCGGUGCCGAAGGGAAGCUGUUAAGUCCACCGCCUGGGAAG